AUGUGGGUAUAGAUGUGGGUAUGGAUGUGGGUAUGGAUGUGGGUAUGGAUGUGGGUAUGGAUGUGGGUAUAGAUGUGGGUAUGGAUGUGGGUAUAGGUGUGGGUAUGGAUGUGGGUAUAGAUGUGGGUAUAGAUGUGGGUAUGGAUGUGGGUAUGGAUGUGGGUAUGGAUGUGGGUAUAGAUGUGGGUAUAGAUGUGGGUAUAGAUGUGGGUAUAGAUGUGGGUAUGGAUGUGGGUAUGGAUGUUGGUAUAGAUGUGGGUAUAGAUGUGGGUAUGGAUGUGGGUAUAGGUGGGGUAUGGAUGUGGGUAUAGAUGUGGGUAUGGAUGUGGGUAUGGAUGUGGGUAUAGAUGUGGGUAUAGAUGUGGGUAUGGAUGUGGGUAUAGGUGUGGGUAUGGAUGUUGGUAUAGAUGUGGGUAUGGAUGUGGGUAUGAAUGUGGGUAUAGAUGUGGGUAUGGGGGUGGGUAUAGAUGUGGGUAUGGAUGUUGGUAUAGAUGUGUGUAUGGAUGUGGGUAGAGAUGUGGGUAUGGAUGUGGGUAUGGAUGUGGGUAUAGAUGUUGAUAAG
ensembl:lncRNA